AGUGAACGCUGGCGGUAGGCCUAACACAUGCAAGUCGAGCGGCAGCACAGUAAGAGCUUGCUCUUACGGGUGGCGAGUGGCGGACGGGUGAGGAAUACAUCGGAAUCUACUUUUUCGUGGGGGAUAACGUAGGGAAACUUACGCUAAUACCGCAUACGACCUACGGGUGAAAGCAGGGGAUCUUCGGACCUUGCGCGAUUGAAUGAGCCGAUGUCGGAUUAGCUAGUUGGCGGGGUAAAGGCCCACAAAGGCGACGAUCCGUAGCUGGUCUGAGAGGACGAUCAGCCACACUGGAACUGCGACACGGUCCAGACUCCUACGGGAGGCAGCAGUGGGGAAUAUUGGGCAAUGGGCGAAAGCCUGAUCCAGCCAUCCCGCGUGAGUGAAGAAGGCCUUCGGGUUGUAAAGCCCUUUUGUUGGGAAAGAAAAGCAGCAGGUUAAUACCCCGCUGUUCUGACGGUACCCAAAGAAUAAGCACCGGCUAACUUCGUG
rnacentral:rRNA from 1 species